GAUCAUGGCUCAGGAUGAACGCUGGCGGCGUGCUUAACACAUGCAAGUCGAACGAAGACAUCUGAGUGCUUGCACUUGGAUGGACUGAGUGGCGGACGGGUGAGUAACGCGUGGGUAACCUGCCUUAUACAGGGGGAUAACAGUUGGAAACGACUGCUAAUACCGCAUAAGCGCACGGUAUCGCAUGAUACAGUGUGAAAAACUCCGGUGGUAUAAGAUGGACCCGCGUCUGAUUAGCUUGUUGGUGAGGUAACGGCCCACCAAGGCGACGAUCAGUAGCCGGCCUGAGAGGGUGAACGGCCACAUUGGGACUGAGACACGGCCCAAACUCCUACGGGAGGCAGCAGUGGGGAAUAUUGCACAAUGGGGGAAACCCUGAUGCAGCGACGCCGCGUGAGUGAUGAAGUAUUUCGGUAUGUAAAACUCUAUCAGCAGGGAAGAUAAUGACGGUACCUGACUAAGAAGCACCGGCUAAAUACGUG
rnacentral:rRNA from 1 species